UGCCUAAAGCAUCUCAAAUCACGUGGUGUGGUCCACCUUAGUCUUGGAAUGGACUAAUCUUUGGUGUGUCCGUCUAUCCUAUUUGGGCGCAUCUUCCGAAUGGAUUGGAUGGCAGAUAUGAAACACGAUGGCCCUACAUAUAAUGUGGAAAGUUUUUAAUGAUGAGCAACCUCACCUCAACUGCCCCAUAUGGUUUGGCCCGCCGGAGCUUUGGGUUGACUUGAUUUUUCGGCACCAAGGAAAUUGCAUGGUGGAUGGAUUGCAGCACGCAAAUGGUAUCUAGCAUCAAAGAAUGUUGCUGGAAGCUUUUUGCAGUUCUGAUUUUUCUUUUUUGUUGGUUUGAUAUUCUUUAAUAUUGAUAUGUAAACUCCAAGAACUGCAGCAUUUGUUGUUUGCUACAGAGGACUUGGAUGAUACUGUGGCAGGGUAUGGUGGGUGAUAAUCAUUCAUGCAACCACCAUGCACAUGGUCCACAUUUUGCUUUUUGUGGAUUUGUUUCAACUCCGACUGUCCAAAUUAUGGUAGUGUUGUAAUGGAGUGUAUGCUGGAUUGACUAUAAUUCUUCCAUCAUUGGGAAUCAGCUGGCUAGCUAGAAUGAGAAAUUUCCAACUCACAUAAUUCAAUGGGCAUGUCUAUUGAUUGGACAUUAUGAUUGUCAAGUCAGUGUGUUUUUGUAGCAAUGACCCACCCCAAUGGGUCCACACAUUGGACUGACUGGAGUGAGUAUGUGUCUGUAUCUUCCAGGUGGAUUCAUGCACAAUAUGGUCCAUCAAACUCUGCCCUUGGUAUGAUACAAUUCUUCUUUUCUAACACAUGCAUGCAUGAAAUCACCACUGUUUAUGAAUAGCUACAGAUAUUCUUCUGAUUGCAUUAUAAUACAGAGUGCUCCGCCCUUCUGAAACAAUUAUGGAUAAUUCAUGAAAUUUUUUAGGAAAAAGGAUUUUCCUGAGUAAUUCACAAAUUAUCUGCCAGCUAUGAAUUAUUCACAAAUGAGUGCCAGGCUAACUUCAUAAGGAUCAAGGGACCUGAGCUACUGACUAUGUGGUUUGGAGAGAGUGAGGCUAAUGUGAGGGAGAUAUUUGCUAAAGCUCGCCAAUCAGCUCUGUGCGUGCUUUUCUUUGACAAGCUUGAUUCAAUUGCAACCUAGGUAAUCUAUGCUCUGUACUUAACUCUUAUUGUGAUCCCUGAUGUUCCACUCAGGGAAUCAAAAUUGUCUUGGAGAGUAACUCAGCUAUCUAUCAGAUCCUAAAUGUCACAUUCCAGCAUGGUCAGAAUCCAUGCAUGUAUGAUUUAUAAAGGAUUUAACUCGGAAUGGUGAUGGCUGAAACUGAGUCGACUUGGAUGAGUUGGCUUGGUGUCAGGAAGUGUUGAUGCCAUUGUUCUAGUUUGCAAUCUCCACCCAUAGCUGGGGCAACAUAUAAAACUUGUUUUUGUUAAGUUACUCAGUUUCUUCUCAAUUGCCUUAGUAUUUUUUACUUGCUGAUUUCGAUAAGAUUGUCUGUUCAAUGUGCACAGAGAGUUGGUGCAAACACAUCUUCUAAGUCCCACCAUCCAACAAUUUGUGGGUGUGAAUAUUAGCAUGCAUUUCAAACUUGAGUAUUGAGAAUUCAAAUUUCAAAGUGCCUAUGGAUUCCUGCCAGCUACCAUUAAAUGGUGGGAGUUGAUGAAUUGUUUGGUCCUUCUAUAUGAUGGUUGGCUUUAAUGUAUAUUUUUUAGUUGUGGCAGUGUAAAUUUUUUAGUCCACAGAAAUCUCAUUGAGGGGCCAAAGCAUUUGGAUAUGUUUGAAGUUGAUUCACGCUUCCACUGCCGCCAUUUCUAGGACUGAUUGACGCCUCACCUACACUAGUACCUACAUGGUUUGAAGCUCAUAUUGGAUGAAGAUGGCUAUUGAUCGAAGUCUAUGGGCAUGCUCCAUCCACACCGAGAUCCAUCAAAUCAAGUCUGGAUUAGCACCUGCACUGCUUGUAGAGAAUUGACCCAAGACAGUUUUCACACCCCAAUGCACCAUGGUGCCCAUUGCUUCUGUUCUGCUCAUGGAUAAUCUACUAGGAAUACUGAGGUGAUUGGACAUGAUGUAGAGAAUGGUUUGCUGGUAAUUUACUCAAGGGGCAGACAGUUGGAGUGAUUGAAGCAGGUUAUAUUGGAUGAAAGAAUAAAAUCUAUUGUUUCUAUGUUUAUUUCCAAUUUAGUUUAUUCUUUGAUGCACUUAAUGAUUUGUUAGUGAUGGCCUUGAUACAUGAAAUCUAGAAACUCCUGCAUCAAAAACCAAUGAGAACAGAUGGAUAAGAAUGAAGUGCAGCCACAAGGUCCUUCCCAAUGCUCCAAAGACAAUGGCCACAUCAAAAGAACAGGUGGUCUUCAUCAAUUCAACUUCUGUGAUUCUCUUUUACUCAGAACUAGUCUUUAUUUUUUUUUUCUUUUUGAAAAAUUCCCGUAAUUUUUUCAUCUUGGUUUUUUUCUUUUAAGCUAUAGAUGCCUUUUUCUCAUCUUUGUGGUGACUAGUCAAUGGUAAAAAAAAAGAAGAAGUGAAAGUCUGGUCAAAGACUCCAUGCGCAGAAGCUGUUUCUUGAGGGGAUUGAAUUUGUUUGUGUUUUUUGA